UACCCGCAUCCGCUUCUUGCU
rnacentral:sRNA from 1 species